GGUCCCGUGGUGUAGUGGUUAACAUGCCUGCCUGUCACGCAGGAGAUCGCCGGUUGACCCCGGUCGGGACCGCCA
rnacentral:tRNA from 1 species